ensembl:lncRNA
CUUACAACCGCAACACCUAAUCGAAUACAGAGGUGGUUCAAGAAAGGGGUGAGAGAAUAAUUAUGUGAACAGCUUUCAGAUGGAAGGGAGCUUCCAGGAGACGUCCUCUACCAAUAGGCGAGAGUGAGCGAAUAAGAAAACAGAAGGAACCUCCUACAAAGGCCUGCGGUCUAUGGACGCACUAUCCCCCUGGGUUAAACACAGAAACGCUGCAGCUCCUCUCCCGGCCCAGCUCAUCUCUGCUUCGCCGCCGCCACACCCGGGUCUGAUCUGAACAGGACCAGAGGGAUCCGGUUUCAAGCCUGCAGAUGACGGGUAGAACGGAGACAAACACGAGCUGACGAGACCAUGUUCGUUGCACCUCGGUGUGCAAGGAACACCACCGCACGUGGCUGUCUCACCUGUACCCUGUGGCGAGCCCAUCAGGAGAGCCCGGACCCUGAGAAAUGGAGGUCUCUCCAGCCAAGCAGCGAGCCUGUGGGUGCCCACGUGGCCGCCCUGCCCAGCUCCCCGUGUCCGGGCUGACUGCUGACGUCACAGACCCGAGUCAGAAGGCGCUGCCCUGCGACGCUGCCCCGCUGCGAUCUGCAUUCACCAGGCCUGCCUCAAGGGUUCAGGUCCCGGUCUCUGGGAUCAACAGCUCUAAAAUGCCCAGAAACUGCAAGACAGACACCUGACAUUUACCAACACUCUUUCCUCAAAACAAAAAUCCGUUUCCUGUUCUGUGCCUUCUUAUGCAAGCAAAGACUCACUCAGCUGUAACUACGAAUCACGAGGGGGCAGUGGGCUAGAGUCAGGGGGUCGCAAAGAGUCGACACGAGUGGUGACUGACGCACACUCACAGCCACACAGAUACUGAUACAAACCACGACGAGUUAGGGCCAACCGCCGAGAGCCCUCCCACACCCAGAGUUCAGAUUCCGUAAGAAGGGGAUAGACUCAAGUCACAUAUUCAAUUACAGAGAGAAAAAUGGGAAUACAAUCCCAUGCAGUUGAGAGCUAAUUUUCAGAAUGAUCACCUGGAUCCCUGAAGUACUAAUCAUCUAAGAAAUGGACAUCAAUGAUUAUCUUCCUCUUAUUAAGGAAGACUGUGAAGGAGCCCCUGGACUGCCCAUCCUCGUUACUGACUCUAACUAGACUGUUAAGAAACUUUAAAAACACGGAAUUUAAACAUAAUUCAUAAGUGUGCGAGUUGGGCUUGAGAGGAGAGAACAAAAAAGAAUCUCUAUCCUAGCAGCUGGAAUUCCCAUGGAGGGAGACACACUCCCCUGACCUUGAACCCUGAGCCAGUGUCUGUCCUGGACACAGCGGCCUGGGUGCCAGCCCAUGGCCCACGCUCGCUUGGUCACCCCUCCCUGGUCAUCUCUUGGUCAUCCUUGGUCAUCUCUCCCUGCCUCUCUGGGCUCUGGGCAGAGAAGCUCUACAAAGCGCUCACGGGAGGGGCAGGGCGUCACUCAUCACGUGGCGCUUGUCCCCAUCCCACUGGCCACAGGGACACUAACGCGAGGGCCACAUCUGUUCUUCCGAUCAGAUGCUCACUGCCCUAAAAACAGCCAGUGAAGAAAGAUGCUUCCCUUUCAAAAAAGAAAGAAAGAAAGAGAAAGGAAAGAAAAGAAAACCAGUUACUCUUAAAGAUAAACAGCACAGCGCUCUUCCGGGAACUGGGACCAUGUUUUUGCCAAAGUCCACGACAUGAGGUCAGAUUUUUGAAUCCAGAAAAUGCAAAUAAAUUGCGACCUAUCACAGUGGCCACUGAGGAAUCAGUGUGCAAGGCAGGCCGGACUCGUGUGCUCAAAGUGCAGGGAUCGCUGCUUUCACACGGGCCAGCAAGGGUGUCUGCAGAGAAGGCUUGCAAGGAGGAAGCCACAGCCAGCUGCCACGAGCACUCACCCCAGGACAGCUCCGUCCUCCCGCCCUCAGCCUCAUCACCAGUCCCCCUCUUGCCUGCAACUGGUGAUGAGCACGACCCAGACAACAAACAGCUGGAAGCAUGCCAGAGGACCAUACAUCCGUGGUCUACCAUGCCCUCUUUAAUCAACUUCCUAAUUAAAAACUGCCAUGCUGGCAUGAGGUACAAAGAGGGUAGGCUUGGGAUCUCCCACGAAACAGCAUCCCUGAACCCUGAGGUUGUGGAAAAUCUGUGUUCUUACGGGUGUUUAUGAGUUUUCCUGGCGCAGAGAGAGAAUCAAUUUGCUUGCGCCUGGCCCUCAAGACGUAUUAAAUUUAUCCUGAAGGAAACUGGCUUCUGCAAAGCUCUUGCCCGGAUGCAUUAGGCAGGUGGGAGUUGCAGUGGGCCGGAGGGUCCCCUGGCAGAUGCAGCAUCGAUUUCUGAACGCUCACCAUCCAGCAGACAGCUCCAGAGCAGACUCGAUUUGAUGGCUCUCUAUGGGGUGCCCUGCAGACUCGAUUAUUUCCACAACCAGUCUGGCUAGCAUUGUUUCAUGGCGACCACGCUCUA